CAGUAUUGACUGCUUUGUGGUCUUGCUCACACUCAACCACUGUGCAUUGUUUCGUGACGUUCGCGUCACCACACUUUCACCACUGAUUGAGUAACACAUACAUAAAGUACGCAUA
rnacentral:misc_RNA from 1 species